CCAGAUCCUGUCCUUUUCUUUAAAGAACACGUCUCGUCUGUUUUUGUUGUAACUUCUCAGCUGUCGUUUUUUGGCUUUUUUACAGCAUUCUUCAGCUUGUGAUUUUAACUGGGCUAGUUGAUUUACCACAUCAUAGGAUGGAUUUGAUGGUGAGAGAUUUUUACCCUGAAGUAUCUUGUCCAUGGGGCCUUGUAAUUUUCUUCCUAGCUGGAGCUCCGCAGGGGACAUGCCAGUGCUUUCUUGAACGGCUGAGUUAAGAGCAAAACGAAGCUCAGUUCUUUGAAUAUGGAAGAGACAAACUGAGUUCCCCGGUCAGACAAGAUGAAGUCCGGUACUCCAUAUCGGGUGAGGAUUUCCGUUCGGAGAAUCGUUGCUAUGGUGCUCGCAAUUGCAGUGCGCAUUGGAAAGAGCUCAACCCAUCGAGAGAAAUAAUCCACAAAAACUAGAAGGUCUUGAAUAUGCCACCAUGACCGCUUAGAGGAUUGGAGUGGUAGUAUUGAAGGACAGAUGGAAUGAGACUGCGAGGGAGGUACACCCUGUAGUGGACUUGGUCCUUUGUUAGAUGGUUGCAGCAGUGACUGGCAAUUCAUCAGUGUCCGUCUGGCUGGAGUAUAGGUUACAUCCUGAUAUGCUGGGAACUCUAGAAAGAGCAUCAGGUGCCACAUUAAGUUUCCCUUUCCUGUAUUCAAUGAUGAAAUCAAACUUUUGCAACCUUAAGGCCCAUCUGACGAGGCGACUGGUGGACUUUGGGGAGCUCAUAACCCACUGGAGAGCCAUGUGGUCUGUAACUACGGUGAACAUGCGAUACUCCAAGUAAUGCUGCCACUUUUCAAGUGCCCAUAUGACUGCAAGACACUCUUUCUCUGUUGCGGUGUAAUUUCUUUCAGCCUUAUUCAGUGCUCUACUUGCAUAAGCAAUAACUACUUCCAUUCCCUGGUCCUUCCUUUGUGUUAGCACAGCUCCAAGACCUGUGUCGCUGGCAUCAGUGUGCACCAUGAAGGGUAACUGGAGGUUUGGAUGGCUCAGGAUGGGAGGUGAAGUAAGCGCAUUUAUGGGUUCAGCAAUUUGAGAAAAAUUAGGAACAAAGCGGUGGUACCAACCGGCUAGUCCCAGGAAGCGCUGGACCUCUUUGAUGUCUCGUGGCACAGGGUUGAUAGUCAGUCCAGCCUCCUGAAGCUUAAGAAGGACUGAUUGGAGAUCGUUGAAGUGCUGAGCCACUGAUGUAGCCACUAUUUAGGUCGAUGGUUGUGAAGAUUGCUUAACCGGAGAGUGAUUCGAGUAUCUCAGUUAUAUUUGGAAUUGGGCGAUGCCCAGCCAGAGUGUGAUGGUUCCACAAUUCCUGCUUUCACCAUUUCUUCAAGCUGCUCUUUUACAACAAACUGCUUGGCAGGUGACAUGCGAUGCCGCUAUGAAUGCAGGUUGGGGUGGAGGAAUAGAACUUAAUAGUGAGAGGGAUGGGUUAAGUGUCCUCGGAGGCUGCUCUGGUUGCUGGCCUGAAGGGCUAGGUAUGCAGUAAGGAACUUCAGGUACACUGGCAUUACCAGGUUGAAAAGGAUACUCCUCUUGUGGAGUAAUCUUGAAUGAAUAUUUUCUAUCAAUGACAUUUAUUUGUAAGCCACUGAAGUAAAUGAAAUCCAACCCGAGAAUCACAGCGUAUGCAAGUGCUUGGGGGGACAGGAUAGCAACAGGUAGAGUAAAAGUUUGGUCAUGCAUAUUGAUUUGCAAUUGAACCCAUCCUAAUGGGACUUCUGCUUCACCAUUUGCUAGGUACAGUGGACCAAGUGACCAAGGCUUGAGUUCUCCUGGCAAGAAGAGCUUUCUCCACAGGCUUUCGUGGAUCAUGGUAUAGCUUGCACCUGUAUCUAGAAUGGCCUUUCCAAACCAGCUGCCAAUACUAACUGGAACGAUAAGCUGUUGAGGAAUGAUAGCAGGAGGGACAGGGGCUGGUUUAGAGGGUGUUUUCCGUAAAUUCUUAGAAUUUGAUGUUUGGUUUGUUGUGGCCGUGAUAAAAUUGUUUGUGGCUUGACCUCCAGGUUUAUGAGGCUGAAACGGGCGUGGAUUGGACUGGUGUUGUUUUGCGGAUUGGUUUGUGGUUAGGGAGGCAUAAUUUGGACAGUAACCAGGUGAGUGGUUUCCUUUACAUCUCCAGCAUUGAACUUGUGGUUUUUCAGGUUGCUUGUUACUGGUGGUUUUUUGUGACACUUCAGAUUGUAGUUUUCGGCCCAUGCACAUUUCAUAUUGCAACUGCAGCUCAUGGUCUUUCUCCAGUUGGUGUCCUAGCUUUACCAGCUCUUCCACAGUGCUUACACGUCCGCGUAACUGACUGGCUAGUACGUACUCUCUCAGCCAGCUCGUCUUCAUAAUCUUCAGAAAGAAAAGUGGACAAAAAAAAAGUCUCAAACUCACUCCAUGUCGUUACUGAAGAGCGAGCAACCUCCCACCAGUCACAUGCUGUGCCAUGAAGUACACUUCGGAAGGUUGCCAACAAGUCACUUUCUGCAAGAGGAUGCAAUGCUAAAAAGUCCUGACAUCGUGUUAGAUACAGCAGAGGAUCGGCGUCAUCAGAUGGUCUUCCAAAAGUGGGAAAGGUCAACUUUAAAUGGUCACUUUUUCCAGCAGGAAUAGGAUGACAUUCUGGGACCUUUUCUAGCGGUGACGGGGGUGCGUUCUUUUAGUUGAGUGCUUAGCUUGUCAACCUGAGUGAUCCAACGAUUACACUCAGUGGAGAGCUGCUCAUGCUCCUUUUGAAGGUUCUUUUGUGUAGCUCUGAUGUCUCUCUGAAGUUCAACCUGAAGUUGCUCCACCAUGAAACGGACUUCAGCAAUCAAGUUAACGUUGUGAGAAUUUGUUGUUUGCUGGCAUCGAUUUUGGAAGUCAGGUCUACAAGUUGCUUUUCAUGAUGGGAUGUAGCCAUUUUUUGCUCCUGGGAGUUGGGAGGUAACCAGGCAGGCGAUGCUGUGAUACUGAGGAAGAUGGGGUAGUUUCAGUGAAUGUGGAUGUGCAAAGUUGCAUAGGUUCUGGCUGAAAUGAAAUCGCUCCACCUGGAGGGGCAGAAGCAAAGUGCACCUGAGAUCUGGGAUGGGGACUGCUGAACGGAGUUGGUGUGGAGUGAAAGGUGGGAAACUGAGGUGGGGGAACGGGCCUUGGUUGCACCGUUGUCCAGACUGGAGUUGCUAUGUCUGGGGGUGGUUCAAUUUCCACAGUAGUCGAUGGUGAAGGAGGGCUAGUGGCCAUGGCUUUAUGGUGUUGUGUAUAUAAUUAGUAAAUUAAAUGAGUAACUUGGAAUUACUGUGGCCUUUUUGUUUCUUUUUGUUGGGGGUUAAAAUAAAAAUAAGAAAAAAAAAAAAGUACAAAAGGGACCGAGUACAAUUUCCAGUCACAGUUUAACACUUUCCACAAUUUUUUUUUUUUUCAAAACACACACAAAAUGAUCAGAGUACUCCCUGAUCAGAAACACCCACAAUUUUCAAGAUUAAAGUUUAAACGAGAAAUGUUCUAAUGCAUGUGACACAUUUUCAAGUUCCAGGGAAAUAUUCAGGUUCAGAUCAAUGUAAAUGCUUGAGUUCAAGUCGUUCAAGUCCCUGUUCGGGCGCCACUUCUGUAACGGUGGCACGCCCUAGUGACCUUUUGGAAACAGUAUCUAUUUCAUAGUUCGGGCGCCAGACAGGAUUUUGGCCUGUCACCAAUUAAAUAUCAAAAUCCCGUGAUAACCCAGGGAGAUUUUUUAAAAUACCACAGUUACUCAAACUACAUGGGUUGCUUGUACAGUAGUUAAUAGAAGACAAACA